GUGUAGCGUACCUACUAGCCUACGACGGGUACGGGUUGUGAGAGCAAGAGCCCGGAGAUGGAUUCUGAGACACGAAUCCAGGCCCUACGGGGUGCAGCAGGCGCGAAAACUUUACAAUGCCGGCAACGGCGAUAAGGGGACCUCGAGUGCCAGGUUACAAAUCUGGCUGUCGUGAUGCCUAAAAAGCAUUGCAUAGCAAGGGCCGGGCAAGACCGGUGCCAGCCGCCGCGGUAACACCGGCGGCUCGAGUGGUAACCGUUAUUAUUGGGUCUAAAGGGUCUGUAGCCGGCCGGAUAAGUCUCUUGAGAAAUCCAGCAGCUCAACUGUUGGGCUUUCAGGAGAUACUGUUCGGCUCGAGGCCGGGAGAGGUGAGAGGUACUUCAGGGGUAGGGGUGAAAUCUUGUAAUCCUUGAAGGACCACCAGUGGCGAAGGCGUCUCACCAGAACGGACCUGACGGCAAGGGACGAAAGCUAGGGGCACGAACCGGAUUAGAUACCCGGGUAGUCCUAGCCGUAAACGAUACUCGCUAGGUGUCGGCCACGGUGCGACCGUUGUCGGUGCCGUAGGGAAGCCGUGAAGCGAG
rnacentral:rRNA from 1 species